CAUAAAGGCCCUGAAAAAUUGAGACAGAGAGAGAGAACUCCAAAGAAGAAACAUGGUGCUGGAAGGAUCUAGAGCAUAACACCACGGAAGCGGCAAUUUUAGCUAGGGCAUCCGGGUUGUGGUGUCCUGUUAACCAUGGGGCAGCAAGAGGUUCGGUGAUCUUGGUCCAGCUGCAAGAGUAACUUGUGUGUGAACUGGCAACAGAAACAAGUAAAGCCAUUGGAUGAGGACCAGAUCAGCCCUGAGCUAACAUCUGUGCCAGUCUUCCACUAUUUUGUAUGUGGGAUGCCUCCAUAGCAUGGCUGAUGAGUGGAGUUGGUCCACACCCGGGAUCUGAACCCAGGAGACAAAGCGGAGCACGCAGAACUUUAACUCGGCCAUGGGACUGGCCCCUACAUUGCAAUUGUAUUUUUAAAAUAAAAAGAAAUAAAUCAAAAAUUUAUUCUGCCCUUAGCGUUCCUUUAUAAAAACAAAAAUUUUAAAAUCAGAUACAAAUUCUAUAAAAGAAACCAAUUGUGUCACUUUCACCUUUUUGAGCCAGUUUAGCAGUGUUUACCAAGUUUAAAAGCUUUAAACUUUACUCAGGGAUCCACCAUUAUCAACAAUAUUUGAAGUUCCAUUUUCAUAAUUAUUAAGCAUAUUUUUAUACUAUUAGGUAUUAGUCUUGUUGGGUGUAGGCAAGGACUUGCAGAUAUCAGAAAACCAGGA
rnacentral:lncRNA from 1 species